UCAGACGUUUGCUCUCCCGAUAGAUUAAAAGAGAUGGAGUGGGCCAUAGAGAGGAAAGAAAGGGAAGAAAGAAGGGGAAAUAUAGUAGUGAGAGGAGCGAGACUUGAAAAGGGAAGAGAAAAGGAAGAGUUGAAAAAGAUUUUGCAGCUGAUAGGGGUAGAGGUCGAGGUAAAGGAUAUGUGGGAGGUAGGCGCGAAAAAGGGGGGAGAAAAGGGGAUAUGGAUAGCAAGACUAGGAAAUAGGGAGCAAAAGAAGCAGGUAAUGGGAAGAAAAAGCCUACUCAAAGGGAGGGAGGAGAGAAUAGACGAGGAUCUCACCUGGGCA